rnacentral:rRNA from 1 species
CACGUAGGGGGCGAGCGUUGUCCGGAUUUAUUGGGCGUAAAGAGCUCGUAGGCGGCUCGGUAAGUCGGGUGUGAAAACUCGGGGCUCAACCCCGAGACGCCACUCGAUACUGCUGUGGCUAGAGUCCGGUAGGGGAGCGUGGAAUUCCUGGUGUAGCGGUGAAAUGCGCAGAUAUCAGGAGGAACACCGGUGGCGAAGGCGGGUCUCUGGGCCGAUAUUGACGCUGAGGAGCGAAAGCGUGGGGAGCGAACAGG